GAGUUUGAUCAUGGCUCAGGAUGAACGCUAGCGGCAGGCUUAACACAUGCAAGUCGAGGGGUAUAGUUCUUCGGAAUUAGAGACCGGCGCACGGAUGCGUAACGCGUAUGCAAUCUACCUUUCACAGAGGGAUAGCCCAGAGAAAUUUGGAUUAAUACCUCAUAGUAUAAUGACUCGGCAUCGAGAUAUUAUUAAAGUCACAACGGUGAAAGAUGAGCAUGCGUCCCAUUAGCUAGUUGGUAAGGUAACGGCUUACCAAGGCUACGAUGGGUAGGGGUCCUGAGAGGGAGAUCCCCCACACUGGUACUGAGACACGGACCAGACUCCUACGGGAGGCAGCAGUGAGGAAUAUUGGACAAUGGGCGCAAGCCUGAUCCAGCCAUGCCGCGUGCAGGAUGACGGUCCUAUGGAUUGUAAACUGCUUUUGCACAGGAAGAAACAACGCUACGUGUAGCGUCUUGACGGUACUGUGAGAAUAAGGAUCGGCUAACUCCGUGCCAGCAGCCGCGGUAAUACGGAGGAUCCAAGCGUUAUCCGGAAUCAUUGGGUUUAAAGGGUCCGUAGGCGGUUUAGUAAGUCAGUGGUGAAAGCCCAUCGCUCAACGGUGGAACGGCCAUUGAUACUGCUAGACUUGAAUUA
rnacentral:rRNA from 1 species